GACAGAGGGUGCAAACGUUGUUCGGAAUUACUGGGCGUAAAGCGCGUGUAGGCGGCAAUACAAGUCGGAUGUGAAAUCCCGCGGCUUAACCGUGGAAGUGCACCCGAAACUGUAUCGCUAGAGUCCCGGAGAGGAUGGUGGAAUACUUGGUGUAGAGGUGAAAUUCGUAGAUAUCAAGAGGAACACCUGAGGUGAAGACGGGUUGCUAGGCUGACACUGACGCUGAGGCGCGAAAGCCAGGGGAGCAAACGGG
rnacentral:rRNA from 1 species